rnacentral:lncRNA from 1 species
CUGUCCGUCUGUGUGCGAAAUAACUCAAAAAGUUGUGAACGCUAUUUAAUGAAACUUACAUAAAAAGUUGGUAAUGACAGAAGGAACAGAUGAUGAAAUUUUGGUAGUGAUCCGGGAAUUUUCAUGGAUUCUUGAAGGAUUUUUCAUUUGUUAUAUUUACUUUAAAUGAAAUAUUACAAUGUUACGUUCUUUGAUUAUUUCUCUUGAAAACACGUUCAUCGUUUCCACGUAACCUAUGGUGGUGUUGCUGUUUCUAAAGUUUAUUUUACUUUCUCUAUUUGUAAUUUUAUUCGCGUAUCUAUCUUAAAAUGAGCUGCUUGGCGAAGGUCUGCGGUCUCCGUGUGCUUUUCUAGUUUAUUAAUGUUUUCACGCAUUAAUUUGUAGGUAGAAUUAUGUAAAAUGUUAAAGAAGAAACCCAGCUAUUUCUUGCAAUGUAUACCAAUACAUACAUCUAAAGCAAAUUUUUUUCAGGAGCCCUUAAAAUACUCCUGUGGAUCUCCAAUUUACUACUUUGUUGUAUGGAUCCCCAAAAUCUUAAAUGGACCCUUAAGGGCCGUAUGGACUGUGGCUGAGAAGCACUGCCUUAGAGAGAAGUAAUUAUAGAGGUAUCAUAUUGCUGGACCAGGUCAUGAAAGAUACAGAAGCAACUGCUCAACUACUUAGGGAUAGAAUUAAUCUAGAUGCAAUGCAGUUUGGUUCUGUGUCAGGAGGAACUACUACUGACGCUCACUUCCAGACGAGGUAACUAGAGAAGAAAUAUUUAGUUGAAAUUCAGUAUUCAUAUUUAACAUUUGUUGACCUGGAGAAGGCCUUUGUCAAGGUUCCUUUCUCUGUGGUUUGGAUCAGGUCGCGAAAGUUACAGAAAAAGUUACAGUUCAAAUACUUAGGAAUAGAGUUUCUCCAGACGAAAUGUUGUUCAAUUUUGUACUUGUAGAAUUACUAUUCAUGCUCACUUAAAGACGAGGUAACUACAGGAAAAAUAUUCAGUUAAAAAUUAGCCACGAUUCUUAGCGGUCGUCAGCCUAAGAAAGCCUUUCAUAUGGUCCCUUGUUCUGUGAUCUGAGGAUAGCUGAGGAAGCUAGGAGUGGGCGAAUGACAUGUGAGAGUUAGAUAAACAAUAUACAGAGAUGAUGCCAGUAAGGAAUUAAGAAGGGCAUCUAGUCAUAGAAACAUCGCCAAAACAGAGGUUUUGAAAGAUAAGCAUAAAGUAAUGGAUGUAGAUACAUCCAAAAAUUACCCUGAUAAUCCAUUACCUGCAAUUCCAGAGAAACCAAUGCCAUUGUAAAAAAUGCAACUGAAGCGAACAGCAUCAAAUUCCUUUAUUCUCAAAAAGUGAAGUACUGCAGAACGUGUGCCAAUUGCAUUGGCAGUGUUUCAGCAAGGCCACAGCCCUCGAGCAGGAACUGAAUAAAGAGAAGAGAAAGAAUAUAUAUAUAUAUAUACAUAUAUAUAUAUAUAUAUAUAUAUAUAUAUAUAUAUAUAUAUAUAUAUGUAUGGAUGUAUGGAUGUAUACGUAUGUAUGCAUGUAUAUAUACAUACAUAUAUAUCUAUAUAUAAAUAUAUAUAUAUAUAUAUAUAUAUAUAUAUAUAUGUAUGUAUAUAUACAUGCAUACAUAUAUAUAUAUAUAUAUAUAUGUAUAUAUAUGUACAUAUGUAUACAUACAUACGUACAUAUGUAUAUAUGUACAUAUAUAUAUAUGCAUAAGUAUGUGCCUCUCUAUAUAAGCACACACACACACACACACACACACAUAUAUAUAUAUAUAUAUAUAUAUAUAUAUAUAUAUAUACAUAUAUAUAUAUAUAUAUAUAUAUAUAUAUAUACAUAUAUAUGCAUAUAUAUAUUACACACACACACACACACACACACACACACAUAUAUAUAUAUAUAUAUAUAUCUCCCACUUUGUGUUUACCUGGUAAUGGUAGCUAAUAAUGGUAUUUAACUAUGCAAAACAUAUACCAAGGAAAAAAGUGUAUCUGCCUUUUAAGGUUUUAGAAGGAAGUGAGCAAAAACAAUAAAGCGAGAGAGUAUGAUAUUGGCCUGUAUUUGUCUCACCGUAGGCACAAGCAAUAGUUAUUUGACCAAGCGAUUUGCUCUUUGUUGAUGGAAAUCGAUGUAAAAGCCCCAUACAUACAGACAUACAAACACACAAGCGCACGCGUGCACACACACAAGCAAACACUUGUGUGUGUGUACGUCCGUUACUGUGUGUAUGCUUCAAAAUAUUGAAUAUGUUCUUAUGUACGAAAAUAAAUACAUCUUCAGAUAUCCAGGGCUCAGUUCUCAAACAUAUUGCUAAACUCUUGUGUUUUAUUCAUAAAUCAGUUUAAUAACUACAAUUAACAUUUAUCUAGAUGGCCAUAUUUUCGCGUGUGUUAUCGAAACAGCUGUAGAAAAAAAUGAAAUUUUUGAAAAUAUCAACAUGAUCGCUUGUUUUCGCGUGGGUUAGCGAAACAACUGUAGAUAAAAUGAAAUUUUAAAAAAUAGCAACAUAAUCGUUUGUUUUUUCUUUUUCUUUAUACUUUUAAAGUAAAAGAAGAGGGAUUCAGAAUCUGGGUAAGGACCUUAGUCUAACCACUACGAGUGAUAGGGAACAUAUAGAAUUGUUUAAGAUAAACAAUCACACGAUACCUCACGCAAAAGAUAAAUCCUGAUUUCACACAACAUCCAGAGUAUAUAAUCAAGACAACAUAAAGAAAAAUGAUGAAUUAUACAGAUUCAAAACUUUAUUGCGGUAUUAUUACUUCCGCCUUCGCUAAGGCGGAGGUAUUCUUUUUAGUUGCAUUUGUUUGUUUGUUUACUUGUUUGACCGUGGACAAGAUAUCUCAAAAAAACGUUAGAUGGAUUCGAAUGAAUCUUUCAAGGAUGUUUGGCCUCGUGACUAGCACGAAAUGAUUAGAUUUGGGGAUCGAUACAGAACCAGACAAGGAUUCUGGAUUACUUUUCCAGAUUUUCACUUAAUUUUUGUGAGCGGUCGGGUUCAUUUUUAGCGUUCUCGUUUGUGAGAGCAGUUGAGUUUAUUUGAGAUGUUCUCAUUUUAAAAAUCAUCUCAAGCUAAUCGUUGAGAGGACGUUCGUGUUGCCUUGGCGGAAGCUUCCGCUCUGUGAGUGCUCUUGUACUCAUUAAAUUCACAUUUGAUUCCAAUUCGACACGUGUUUCUGCUGCACAAGUGACCUAAUAUCCUUUGAUAUUUAUGUGAAUAGUUGGUUCAGUUUCAGUACUUAUUCAUGUGUGUGUGUGUGAGAGAGAGUGUACGUAUAACUACGUAUAUAUACAUACAUAUAUAUAUAUAUAUAUAUAUAUAUAUACAUACAUACAUAUAUAUAUAUAUAUAUACAUACAUACAUACAUAUAUAUAUAUAUAUAAAGUUAAUCCAAACAAGAAAGCAAAAAAAAACACAACAACGCGAGGACGUGGAACAAAUAUAGUAUUAUUGGACGCUCAGGAAAGAAGGAAAGGAGGAGGGUUUAACGUUUCGAGCGGAGCUCUUCGUCGGAAACAUAGGAGAAGGAAAGAUCUAGAGAAGAGAAGACGGAGGAAAAAAAUCCCCAACGGUACACAGUUUUAUCUUUAUGGCUGAGAGUCAUGCAUUAAAGUUUCAUGUUAAAACCGUACACACUUAGAGUGUCCUCAACGCCCACUGCUUCAUGUUCUAUCUUUGUAUUGUGUCUAUCCUCCCAGAACCAGAGGAUGUGGGCACAGAUGCUCUGGAUCCUUAUAAGAUUGUUAGUCAAAAUAUCGCAGUUUUCGCCAUCUGUACAUACAUACAUACAUACAUACAUACAUACAUACAUACAUACAUACAUACAUACAUACAUACAUACAUACAUACAUAUAUUCAUGCAUGUCUGAUGGCUGUCAACUCAUCGUAUCAUGGCGGCGAGCUGGCAGAAUCGUUAGCACGCCGGGCGAAAUGCGUAGCCGUAUUUCGCCUGCCGUUACGUUCUGAGUUCAAAUUCCGCCGAGGUCGACUUUACCUUUCAUCCUUUCGGGGUUGAUAAAUUAAGUACCAGUUACGCACCGGGGCCGAUGUAAUCAACUUAAUCCGUUUGUCUGUCCUUGUUUGUCCUUUCUGUGUUUAGCACCUUGUGGGUAGUAAAGAAAUAGGUAUUUCGUCUGUCUUUGCGUUCUGAGUUCAAAUUCCGCCGAGGUUGACUUUGCCUUUCAUCCUUUCGGGGUCGAUAAAUUAAGUACUAUUAACGCACUGGGAUCGAUGUAAUCGACUUAAUCUCUUUGUCUGUCUUUGAUUGUUCCCUCUGUGUUUAAGCCCCUUGUGGGCAAUAAAGAAAUAAGAAAGUCAUCGUAUGAUCAUCACUGACAAAAAGCAACGCCUACUUAAAAUGUUAGGUCUUGUAAAGCUUGCACAAAAAUCUCGUAGAGUCUCUCCGCACUGUUGGCCUGAUCCAGAGACAAGCCGAUGCAAGAUAUCUUGAGCCAAUAUAGGUUGUAUGUUCAGUAAUGUGGAAGCGCCAUUAUCUGAAGUGCAAGUUAAAAAAAUCCUCAAAAUGUCCAUUGCUAUUCCCAGCAGACCCAGUUUUAUAUCAGAAUGACUUUCUUAUACAGUUCACCGCCAUCAAUUCAUCGCAAGAGAGUUCACCGCCAUCGAUCCACCGUGAGGAAAGUUUGCGGAGAAAAUGUAUCCAUAGAAUCUCACUAUUAAUAGUUAAAAACUAUUUUAUUGAUUAAAAAGUAAAUGAAUAAAUUAAAUAAAAAAUAAAACAGUGAAUUGAUGACGGUGAGCUUUCGCUGCGUUGAAUUGAUGACGGUAAACUGAUGGGACAUGUUUAGAGACAUUAUUUAACAAUUGUUUUGUCGAGAACAACCCAAUUACUUCUUUUCUUUAUUACUAAAUUGGUACUUAUUAUAUCGGUCUCUUUUGGCGAACUAGUAAGUUGCGGGUAUGUUGAUAAGCCAACACCGGUUGUCAAGCGGCAGUGUGUGGGUGGGGGACAAGUAUAAAAAUACACACACACACACACACACAUACAUACAUACAUACAUACAUACAUACAUACAUACAUACAUAUAUAUAUAUAUAUAUAUAUAUAUAUAUAUAUAUAUAGAGAGAGAGAGAGAGAGAGAGAGAGAGAGAGAGAGUGAGAGAGAGAGAGAGAGAGUGAGAGAGAGAAAGAGAGAGAGAGAGAGAGAUGGUACGAGCUUCUGUCAGUUUCCGUCUACAACAUCCAUUCGCAAGUAUUUGGUCGUCCCGAAGUUAUAAUAAGCGACACUUGUCGAAGUGGCUGCACAGUGGUACUGAACCCGAGACCACAUGGUUCAGAAACAGGCUUCUUAACCACACAGCCACUCCUGCACUUUAAAUAUAUAUAUAUAUAUCAUUUUUGGAUUUGGUUUACAAGAUUCUUUAUAUGAGUUCGUGUGUUGAAGCAUAUUAUGUUGUGUCUGAGGAGAGUCAUUUUCUUUUAACACACUCACCGGUAAAAUUUCCACUUAUUUCUUAUUUUUAUUUGCCUAAAAUUUUUGUUACGUCUUGCAACCUUUUCAAUAGUCUUAUUGAAAAAGGUUGCAAGACGCAACGAAAAUUAUAAGGCACAAAAAGAAAAUGACUCUCCCCAGACACAACAGUAUAUAUAUAUAUAUAUAUAUAUAUAUAUAUAUAUAUAUAUAUAUAUAUACAGUUUCAGGAAAGAGAUAAAAAAAGUUUUAUAUACUAUAUAUACUAUAUAUACUAUAUAUAUAUAUAUAUAUAUGGUAUAUUAAAUUUUUUCUCUAACUUUCAUGAAACGGAAUUUCAUUAGAGAUUAGACAAAUCAUAAAUGUCUCUAAAAGGUUCAGCAACGCGAAAUCUAUUAUACACCACAAAAAUAAUUUUAGAAAUUUCCCCUUAUCCAAGUCAUUGGUUAAAUCAAAUUCCUUAUCGUUUUCCAUUAACCAAUGACUUUUCACGUAGGGUCUCUUCAUGUCGUACAGAUGCUAAAAUAUAUACAUACAUCCAUCCAUCCAUACAUACAUACGUGCAUGCAUACAUACAUACACACACACAGACACACACACACACACACACAUAUAUAUACAUAUAUAUACGAUGAGCUCCUUUCAGUUUUCGCCUACCAAAUCCACUCACAAGACUUUGGUCGGCCGAGGCCAUAGUAGAAAACACAUGCUCAAUAUGCCACACAGUGAGACUGAACCCAGAACCACGUGGUAGGGAAACAAACUUCUUACCACACAGUCAACUUCAAGAAGAGUGGUUCUCAGCCAUAUUUUAUCUAUAGACCUCUUUGAUUCUUAUUCUCUUCACGAGGACCCUCAUAACCAUUUAAUGCUUUAAAAACCCUAUGAUAUUUUCAUAACUGAAUAUUACUAGGGUGUUAAAAUAUUUUGUCUAUUGUAAAAAUAUAACCAAUUUAUUGCACAUAAUUUUUAACAAGAUCUUAUAUGGGGCCCCACAAACCUUAUGGACCCCAAAUGAGAACCUCUUCUCAAAGAAUGACCAACAAAAGAGAUACUGUACGCAUCAAGUCUGUCUUUCAUUUGCAUCCUGAAUUUAUUAGAAUUUACCGUUAUUGUUUGUUUAAAACAUAUCACAUUCCAACACAGUGGUGUGUUAUGAAAUCCUUUUGCCGACUACAUGUCUUCAAGUUUAUUUUCACUAUGUAGUUCCUCAAAGUCGUGGCUCAAGUUUUGAAACAUUAUUUUUAGAAAUUAAAAUUGUUAUGCCUAAGUGCAAUUCGAUUCAAACAUAUACAACGCAAAGAUAUACUUACCUAACAACCGAUCCAAUGAUUCAAUAUCUCGAAGAAAAAAUAAGUAAAAUCAAAAACAUAGUUCCAGACCAAAUUGCUUACUUUUAAUACAACUUUGGUCAUUUAAUAUAUAAAGAUUCAAAUUUUCAGACCUAUGUUGCAAACUUUUGGCCACGACUGUAUAUUAGUGUUCUCCAACAAAAACAAUGGAUUGCUUAAUGCUUUGGGAAGGAAAUUUGGUCGACGGAAACCGAAAAGAAUCUUUUUGUUGUUGGUCUUGUCUCGUAGAUAAAAUACUUCGCUCAGUUGCAACACCACCGCUUGGCCGUUGGAUGAUGACACUAGAAAAAUACUCUCAAUUGCGGAUGUGUCAUUCUACUACUCUCUUUCUCUUCCUCUCUCCUCUCUCUCUCUCUCUCUUCCUUUCUCUCUCUCUCUCUCUCUCUCUCUCUCUCUCUGAAACGCAUACAAACACUUUCUUGGAUGACAAUCCCUCUCUCUCUCUCUCUCUCUCUCUCUCUCUCUCUAUCUAUCUAUCUAUCUAUCUAUCUAUCUAUCUAUCUAUCUAUCUAUCUAUCUAUCUACAUAUACGCAACACACAUGCAGGCGCGCUUACACACACACAAACACAGAUGUGAAGGCGCAUGGCCAAGUGGUUAUGGUGUAGUACUCAUGAUCGCGGGUUCGUUUCCUGGACUGGGCAACGCGUUGUGUUCUUGAGCAAAACACUUCAUUUCACGUUGUUCUACAAUCAUUUCGACAUUUGACGUGUGGCACACCCGUGCAUCUGUACAGUUAAUGUACAGCAAGUAUAUUUGAUGGCUAUAGAUAAAUCAUUUGUGCAGAUCGUUCAGCAAAAUAUCAUCAUCGAUUGAAGAUUCCAUCAUGAAUACAAGGGGAUGCUGAAAAGUUCCUGGCUUUAAGGGUGUCGCGAGAGGUCUGGCUGGAGGCCCAGCCUUCCGAGUUCUUUUACAGAGCUUAGAAAAACUGACGGACCUCUGCAAUAAGUAUGUGAAUCUGAGACGAGAAUAUCUCUCUCUAUAUAAACGGCAGUUUGCCUGUGCGUGUUUCUGUGUGUCUGUUUGCUUGUACCCUCACUCUGACCACGGCUUUCAACCGAUUCUGAUGAAACUUGACACACACAUAGCCCAAUGUCAUAAUUCAAAACUAACGCAGCGAAAAUUUUGAAAAGUUCCCCCAGUUCAGAAAAAGAUCGAUAAAUUCGUCUUCCCAUUUUUUUUUUGCUAUUUUUUGGCUAUAACUCUCUAAAAGUGCUUUAUAGUUAUUUCCCUUACAAACCCGAGCAACGCCGGGCGAUACUGCUAGUGUAGAAUAAAAUCAUAAUUAACUGAUCCGCCUGUAUUUUCCUUUAUCCAAAAAUCAAUAACUUUUUAACAACCCCCUCAUAUAUAUACUUUUCUACUCUAAGCACAAGGCCCGAAAUUUUGAGAGAGGGAACCAGCCGAUUAGAUCGACCCUAAUACGCAACUGGUACUUAACUUAUCGACCCCGAAAGGAUGAAAGGCAAAGUCGACCUUGGUGGAAUUUAAACUGAGAAUGUAAAGACAGACGAAUACCUAUUUCUUUACUGCCCACAAGGGGCUACACACAGAGGGGACAAACAAGGACAGACAAACGGAUUAAGUCGAUUAUAUCGAUCCCAGUGCAUAACUGGUACUUAUUUAAUCGACCCCGAAAGGAUGAAAGGCAAAGUCGACCUCGGUGGAAUUUAAACUCAGAAUGUAAAGACAGACGAAAUACCUAUUUCUUUACUGCCCACAAGGGGCUACACACAGAGGGGACAAACAAGGACAGACAAACGGAAUUUGACCUCAGAACGUAGCAGCAGACGAAAUACCGCUAUGUCUCUGCCAGCUCGCCACUUUAUAUAUAUAUAUAUAUAUUUUCUCGAGCCUUAGGUUUUAUAAUGAUGGUCAUACAGUUUCCAUGGCAUACAAGUGACUAUAUUGUAAUCAGUGACAACAUUUUUCGAGAACGGGACACGCCGGUCCAUUGCAGUGACAAGGCCAGCUAACACAUUCUGUCCAGGUUUUGGGUUUGGUGCUCACUUCCUUCUCACCACCCAUUAGUCAGAGAAAAGCUGAAAUACAUAAAGGGCGCUUCCUAAUCUCUUUUCCAAUUUUAGCCUUUUUCCAUAAAUAAAUAAGCCUCCUUAACUCACGGGCACAAGUAGUUUAAUCAGACAUUUAUUUUCCCACCUUCUGAAGACUGUUAUCCGAUAGGUCCUUUCAACCUGUCGUAUCCCAUGUCCAAAUAUUUUGCUUUCGAAAUCUGCCAGUCUCUUUGUCGGCUUUAUUUAUUUAUUUGUUUGUUUGCUUGCUUGCUUGUUUGUUUAUUUAUUUUGAUUCUGUCAUAAAUCAUACCACUGACGAGCCAAUUCCGACACCCAAUACACAAAUUCGAAACUUGAUCUAUUGAUCUGCUCUAUUCUAAGAAUGUUAUUAAUUUUUAAACCAUUCCCCUCUACCACCACCACCACCACCACCAUCACCACCAUCACCACCACCAUCACCACCACCACCACCACUAUUAUGGAUCUAUAUGGGAAGGCGUGUGGCCUAGUCGUUUAGGUGUUGCGCUCACGAUCGGGAAAUCAUUGUUUCGAUUCCUCGGAUCGGGUAGUGCGUUGUGUUCUUAAGCAAAAAAUUAUUUCUCCCCCACAUUUCAUGUUUGCUCCAGGUCGCUCAGCUAUAAAUGUGUUCCAGCAAUAACUGGAUAGUUAAUCCUGUGAUUGAACGGCGUUCCGCUCAAUGGUGAGUGUCAUAAUCUCGGACACUUAUAUGCUAUGGAAAUAGGAUUUAGCUCCGGACUCAUGAGCCCUAGAGCUCAUUGUAGAACUAUGUUUAAGACUAUUAAGUGCAGAUGAGUGCACAUACUAAGUUUGGUGGCACAUACUAAGUUUGGUUGCGUACGGGGGUCGAUGUAAUCGGCUGGUCCCCGCCCUACAAAAUUUCGGACCUUGUGCCUAGAGUAGAAAAGAUUAUUAUUAAAGCGGUGAGCUGGCAGAAUCGUUAGCAUGUCAGGCAAAAUGCAUAGUGACAUUUUCUCCGGCUUUACGUUCUCAGUUCAAAUUCAGCCGAAGUCAACUUUGUCUUUCAUCCUUUCGGGGUCGAUAGAAUAAGUAUCAUUUAAGUACUGGGGUCAAUGUAAUCGACUAACACCCUCCCAAAAAUUUCAGGCCUUGUGUGUUCUAUAGUAGAGAGGAUUAAUAAUAUCUCUAUUUGCUUCGAGUACCACAGUUAUAAAACUAAUUAUUUUACGCCUCUCGAAGUUUCUAGAAUCUUCGGAUGUACAUAAAUAUUUAAAUAAUUACAAUACAGAUACACAGAUGAGGCAUUGUUACUCCGAGUUCCAGAUAAACUCCAAGGGAAAUACUUAAUGAGUUGAAUUAAAUCAAAGCGAACGCGGAGAUGUGCCGCUCAGAUCGCAUUGAGCUACGUCUGAUGAUUUGAAAACUCAGAGUAGCAUACUUUGAUCGAGUGUCCUUCGAAAAAUGGUCUUUCUAACACACAUAAACAUGCAAGCGUUCAUACACGCACACAAACACACACACACAUACACACACACGCACACACACACACACAAGCGCAUGAUUGACACAUACAUAAAUACAUACAUACAGCUCUGGAUUAACCCUUUAAACAAAAUAAGCACGUAUUUAGGGCAUCAAGGGACUGAGUUACCACAGAAAUGAAAAUGUUUUACGACACGAAAGAAAUCACUUUAAACUUGCUAAAAUAAUAUUCGUAAUGCCUUAUCUCUACAAAGUAUAGAAGCAGAAGUUUUACGUAAAAUUAAUUUUAACGAUAUAAUCGAAGACUUCGCAAUUAAAAUAAAAAAAAAAAAACCAAAGAAAAAACUUUUCAAAUGUAAAUAAAGUGGAAGUAUACAAAAAUAAAUAUUAUUUUCCAUCUUACUGUUAGCUUUGUUUCAUUUUAGAAAAUAAAAAAAUUAUUUUAUGCUUUAUUAUUUUUUACAUUUUGAAUUAUUUUUGUUUACAUUUUGAACCAUUUACAUGUACUUGAGGGCACCAAAACCUUUUAAGCGCUUAGGGCUUUAUGAGUCUUAAUCCGGCCCUGCAUAAAUACAUACAUACAUACAUACAUACAUACAUACAUACAUACAUACAUACAUACAUACACACACACAUGAGUGAGUAGACAAACGAAAGGAAUUAGCAGUCAAUAUAUUUUCUAGGGGUUACAUAUAUUUUCUUUCCAUAACAGUUUGACUCAUGUGACUCAAACUUUCUUCAGUGCGUAGGACGCGUCCAUCUCAUCACAAACUGUACACACACACACGCACAUGUGUGCAUGUGUAUAAAUAUCUAUUUAUAUAUUAGUAUAUGUGUGUGUGUGUGUGUGUGUGUGUGUGUGUGUGUGUCUGUGUGUGGUACGUAUGUUCCUUAUGGAUUAAGAAACUGACAUGCGGAUUGUGACAUAUGAGGUAUCAAAAGAUUCAGUAAUCUUUAGGCUACCAAAUGAAAUAUGUUUUUUGCACAACAGUUCUUUUUUACUACAAAAAUAACCUCGGAAACGAUGUCGGGUCGCACAAUUUUGAGGUCAUUUUCGGGUAAUAUUUAGACUUGCUUCUAAUCUACAUUGCCAAUAUUAAUGUUUUUGGUGCCAACAAAUGUAGCAAUGUACAAGGAGCGUUAUGAGUGCAUUUGAGAUGCACAAAAUCCUGAUUGUCAACAGAGGAUAACCAAAAAACAUGCCUAUUGGGAACAAUUAUUGGCACAUUUUCCGUCAAUAAUGGCCUUUGUUCUACAACUAAACUGCCAAUGUGAACGCCUUCAGCAUUCCAUGAUUAAACAAUAUCAUUGAAGUAUUGUGAUACCAUUUUUUCCACAAAGCCCUAUUUUUCAACAGAAAAUUGACUAAUGGACCGUGUUCUGGCAUAACUGCGAUCGUUUCUAGCAUUAAAUUUUGUUGGUAGCAAACGACUCAGAAAUGUCAAAGGAGCUAUCUCGGGUUUAAAUUCAAUAAAAUUUCCCCAAGGAUUAAGCAUAGUAAGAACGUAUAUUCGUUCAAGUGUGGUAAAGACGUGAAGCAAUGACUAAAACUUUUCAAGCUUUUUUGCCUUUAACAUAUUUCUCUUUAUUCAGCCAAAAUUAUGCAAAGCUGCUUAUCGUUAUUUGCAUAUAUUCAUGCCUAUUAUUCAUUCUAUAAGCCGUAAAGUUCGUAAGGGUUUUGCUAUAAUUUCCCUAUUUUUCACAGUGGCUGAGCGUAUACUACAAGCCGGGUGGUGUGAUGGAAAGCCAGUGUCUGACCUGAUAACCUCAGCGAGGAUGACAACAACACCGCGCAUCUAUGCGAGAGCAAAUUAAGGUCACAUACACACGAGUCCCCCCACAGUGCGUGUCCCUUCACAGAUGCACACCGUAUUCACUGACUGGUACAAUUUCAAAUCAAUUUUUCCUCAUCGGAGACAUGUACUGCAAUACCAGUUGGUCGUGAUGUGAUUGUUAUCACCGAUCCGGGUUAUGUAUGUAUCUAUGCACGUAUGUGGAUAUGUAUAUAUUUAUGCGUGUGUGGUCCUUCUAUCUACUUAGAUAUCUGGACUAAUAAUAAUAAUAAUAAUAAUAAUAAUAAUAAUAAUUACGGCAAAAAAAAAGGUUUGAAAUACUGUUAUCCACAUUGUCAUUUGCAGGAGAUAGUGAAAAAAAUUUCAUCAUAGUUGUUCGUGCAUUUGUUUCCGUUUUCUCUUGUAUUAACUUCUUGGUACAUUGAUUUACGUGUUGAGGAAACCAUCUUAAUCAAGAAAACAGAGAAAGCUCAAUGAGGUAAAGCUAGUCAGUAACACAAUGUUUAUCACGUGCUGAGAAGAAUUCUUUGGUCGGGUGAAGCGGACCGCGGGUGCACACCAGUUCGACCUAAAUAAAAUUCUAACUGGGCCUCAUCUGCGAUGUCAUGCGCUGUCGCUCACAUAUGGUUGUGGUGCAUGUGCCUAGUGUACCCUUAUCAGACGGGUCGUCAUGAUGGGUAUAGUGUGCUUCGUAUAUUUGUACACCAGUGUCACUUUGAUGGCGUGCCCUGCUCUCUCACUCAAUAAUAAUAAUAAUAAUAAUAAUAAUAAUAAUAAUAAUAAUAAUAAUAAUAAUAAUAAUAAUAAUAAUAAUAAUAAUAAUAAUAGUAAUAAUAAUAAUAAUAAUGAUAGUAAUAAUAAUAAUAAUAAUCAUAAUAAUAAUAAUAAUAAUAAUAAUAAUAAUAAUAAUUAUAGGUACUUGGGUCGAUUCGUUCAACUAGAAUUCCUCCAGGGGGCGCCUUAGCAUGGCCGUAGUAAAUGGCUGAAACAAGUAAGAGAUAAAAAAAAUAUGCUUCUCAACAUCAGCUUAGAUCAGUGAGAACAGGCUCUCUGCGUGAAGGGUUUAGCUGGAACGGUCUUGCUACUAAACCAAAGGUUCAGAUCUUCCUCUGAACACGAUUGCUCGCCUAGGAAUGUGUGGACAAGUGCCUGAAGAGCGUGGGCUAUGUGCGUCGCUCAGUGGCAGGUAUCUAUAACCUCUAUACAAACUUUGCGUCUGUGACUAUGUAUGCAUGCUCAAUAAAGCAAUAUCCUACCCUAUAUUGUAUGAAUUUUCUGCGCAUGUGUGUAUUCGUAUACUUUAUACAUACAUGCAUAGAUAUAUUUAUAAAUACCUUCCCCCAUAUAUGUCUAUUCUCUCUCUCUCUCUCUCUCUCUCUCUCUCUCUCUCUCUCUCUCUCUCUCUCUCUCUCUCUCUCUCUCUCUCUCUCUCUCUCUCUCUCUCUAUAUAUAUAUAUAUAUAUAUAUAUAUAUAUAUAUAUAUAUAUCCUAAACGUUCGAAAUGCGGAGUAGAUAAAACAGGGGACAACUAAUGAAGGGAUUGUUCUUUAUGUUGCCCGUCUCGUUUCUCGAUUUGUUUCUUUUGUUGUUCGAAAAAUAGUUCGUUUUCCAUGUUUUAGUUUCUUCAUGUUCUCGUUUUUCACGAUGUUCACGUUUUUUUGACGUCCUGUACCCAUAUAUGCAUGUGUAUAUACACAUAUAUGUUGGCAUGUACACGUACGUAUGUAUAUAUGCAUAUAUAUAUAUGCAUAUAUAUAUAUAUAUAUAUAUAUAUAUAUAUAUAUAUAUAUUUAUAUUAUAUAUAUAUUUAUGAUGAUCCGGUUCUUGACUGAAGAUUAGAGGCUUCGAAAGACCCGUCCAUUUUUUGUGUCGUCUAUUUGAGUGUUUUGCGUUCUUGUCCCAUUUUGUAUUUUUAUAUAUAUUUUUUAUACAUACAUACAUACAUACAUACAUACAUAUAUAUAUAUAUAUAUAUAUAUAUAUAUAUAUAUAUAUAUAUAUAUAUAUAUAUAUACAGUUAGAUAUAUAUGUUAAUGUUUGAAUGUUGUAGUUACCAGUUUAUGUAUAUGUGUGUGUGUGUAUGAAUAUAUGCUUUUAUAAAUAUACAUAUAUCCUUCUACAUGUAUAUAUAUUUAGAUAUAUUUAUGAUAUAGAUGCAUGUGCAUUUAUGUAUACAUAUAGAAAUGCAUGUGCAUCUAUGUUUGUGCGCUCGCGCGCGUGUUUGUGUGCAGAGCGGUUGCUGGAAAGUCCCAGGCUUUGGGUAAAAGAAAAUACAGGAGGAUCAGUUAAUUAGGAUUUUAUUCAACGUAUUCCCCGCUCAGAUUUACAUACUUAUUUUCUGUAGAACUCGGAAGGUUGGACCUCCAGCUAGGAGGCCUUUCUAGAAAACCUUAAAGCCAGGAUCCUUUCAGCAUCUCUUUGCACAAAUAUACGUAUGAAUGUUUGCAACUAUGUAUACAUAUAAAGGACUGACCACUAAAAGUGGACGGUCAACAUGCUAGAUAUAGACGUCAAAUCGCUAUUUUCCACAAAUAUUUCGUAUAUUUUCAUUUGUCUUGUUUAUUUUUAAUGCUUUGGUUCGUGCUGGAUUUUUAUUUGAGAACAUAUUCUUUGUGGAAAAUAGAGAUUUGACGUCUAUAUCUAGCAUGUUGACCGUCCACUUUUAGUGGUCAGUCCUUUAAAUUUUGUAUGUAAAAAUAUUUUAAUCUUCGGAUUUUUUAAUAUGCUAGGCCACUGGUUUUAAUUGAUUAAUAUCAAUUUCUACCCUUAUCAAAUUUUAUGUAUACAUAUAUGUAAGAAUAUUUAUGUAUGUAUGUGUGUGUGUGUGUGUGUGCGUAUAAAUACAAACAUAUAUUCUAAGCUAUAAUAAUCACAAUAAUUACUAUUUUUAUUUAAAAUUGUUGUUGUUAUUACUGUUACCUACCUCCAGCCCAAUCCUGGUCAACUUGAAGCAAGUACCAUCUCCGCAUUAAAUUAAUAAUCAUAAUGAAAAAGGAAACAAAAAAGAAAAAAAAACAAAACAAAAAAACUCGAUGAUAAAAUGAUUUGAACGAGAUUUGGCUGCUAUUUCUAGCACUUCCAUCGGACGCGCAUUCGGAAACACCUACGUUAGCUCGAUAGCUGUUUGUUGUUUGAAGUUAGCUUAAUGUGAUUUCGUGUGACUGUGUGUUUGAUCCAGGGAGCGGAAAGACUCGCACACGCGACAGACAUAUAGUGUCUGUUUCUGCAUGAAAUGAAGUGUAAAAUAUAACACACACACACACACACACACACUUGUAUCGCACUGUUGUGUUGGAGAAUUGAUAGAAGCGUUAGUGCGUCGACGGGGUUUUGAGUUCAAAUCCUGCCUACGUUAACUUUGUCUUUUAUCCGUCUGGGGUCAAUAAAAUAAAAAAUUAACAGUGUAGGGCAGUGAAGUGACACAGUCGUUAGUGCUUCGGACAGGAUACCCGUAGUAUGUAUACCAAUGUUUUACGUUCUGAGUUCAAAUCUUGCAGAGGUCAACUUUACCUUUUACCGUUCGAGGUUCGAUAAAAUAAAAAUUAACAGUGUAAGGUAGUGGAUUAGUGGAAUCGUUAGAGCUACGGACCGGAUACCUAAUAGUGUUUAUUCCAUCGUUUUACGUUCUGAGUUCAAAUCUCGACGAGGUUAGCUUAAAUUUUCAUCCAUCCGGGUUCUGUAAAAUAGAGAAUCGUGGGAAGUAAGUAUUCUGGCAGAAUCGUCAGAGCAUCAGACAGGAUACCUUGAGCUGUUUGUUCCAGAACAAUUCCGUUCUGGGUUCUACUUCCACGGGGCUCAGCAUUCUUCUAUGAUGUCUUGGGGUGUUUGUUCGAACUGUUUGCAUUUUGCGUUCAAAUCCCUGCGUGGUCCACUUGUAUGGUAGACUUAAUUCGUAAACUAGUUUAGUACCAUUCUAGUUCUUGAUAAGUCCCUUCACCACUAGCGUAGCUAGAGUAUGUGCCGCCCGGGGCAGCCCUUCCGUUUGCCACCCCCGGACUCAACAAAAAACCACAUAUUACCUACAGCAGACCCCAAAAUACCGCCCCUUUAAAAGUGAAGCCCGGGGCGGACUGUCCUACCUACCUACGCUAGUGCUUUUUACCAAAAUUCACUUUACUGUGAGAAUUCGGGUCAGUAUCUUAGUAUGAAGGCACCUUCCACAAUUACUUCUACCGUCUCAGAGGUGAUGGGCACUGCCCUUCCUUCUGACUAAAGAGUAAAAAGAAAUCAAUUUGAAAGAAAACAAAUGCAAUACAAUUACAAAAACACUCAAGAAAGCAUCCAUAUCAGGCAUCGGGUAUAUUUUUCGAGAGGUGGGCCGCAUGAGAAAUGACCCAUCCUCAGGCGGGCCACACCAUUAAAAACAUUCAAGGUCAAUUUGCGUUAAGCGUGCCAUUCAACAAGUCUUGUGGAACGCAGUUCUGCAUCAUCGGUCGAACUGCUAGAAAUAGCAACCAAAUAUUACUCAUAUCAAAGACGUCAUCUGAUGAGAGAUAUGAGAGAUAUUGGUGUCAAGAAGACCCACAGGUGCCAGGUAAUGCUGAGUAAGUGCUAUGGAAAGACAAUAGCUAAGCUCCAGGUUCCAUAAUGAUACGAAUGAGGAGUCCAACGCAGGUCGUGUAUUAGUAUAUAAUAAUUUAACAGAAUGAGAUAAAAAAAAUCCAAGGCUGUGAAUAGUUUUCAGAAUGUUCUAGAAAUUAUUCACAGCCUUAGAUUCUUUUUCUCAUUUUGUUAAUAUAUAUAUACUAGCAGUAUCGCCCGGCGUUGCUCGGGUUUGUAAGGGAAAUAACUAUAUGAGCAUUUUUAGAGAUGUAAAGUAUAAUAGCCAUCUCAAUAUGGCUAACAACAAAGGUUGGGGUGUUACUCUAGCUUUUUAUGUUCUGAGAUUUAAUAAUAAAUUUUCAGAGAGUUACUUCCCAAAAAUAUGCCAAAAAUGCAUUAAAAAUGGGAAAAAUUGACGGUAAAUUUUUUUUUAAAUCGUAGACUCAUCGUAGACGCGCGCUAAUAUCCAGAAGGGCUCGAUAUGAAUCACGACUAUAAGAUACCCGGUUUUGGUUAAACUGCACCGCAAAAUGUGGGAGUAGUUAGGAAUCUAAAUCGUAGGAGACAGACAGUACACAACCUCACUUUUAUAUAUAAAGAUAUACUCUCUUUUUACCCUCUUUUACUUGUUUCAGUCAUUUGACUGCGGCCAUGCUGGAGUACCGCCUUUUAGUCGAGCAAAUCAACCCCAGGUCUUAUUCUUUGUAAGCCUAGUACUUAUUCUAUCGGUCUCUUUUGCCGAACCGCUAAGUAACGGGGGCCUAAACAUACCAGCAUCGGUUGUCAAGCGAUGUUGGGGGGACUAACACAGACACACAAACACACAUAUAUAUACACACACAACACACACACACACACACACACACACACACACACACACACACACACACACACACACACACACACACAUAUAUAUAUAUAUACGACAGGCUUCUUUCAGUUUCUGUCUACCAAAUCCACUCACAAGGCUUUGGUCGGCCCGUGGCUAUAGUAGAAGGCACUUUCCCAAGGUACCACGCAGUGGGACUGAACCCGGAACAGUGUGGUUGGUAAGCAGGCUACUUACCACACAGCCACUCCUGCGCUUAUAUAUAUACUCUUUUAUUUGUUUCAGUCAUUUGACUGCGGCCGUGCUGGAGCACCACCUUUAGUCGAGCAAAUCGACCCCGGGACUUAUUCUUUGUAAGCCCAGUACUUAUUCUAUCGGUCUCUUUUGCCGAACCGCUAAGUGACAGGGACGUAAACACACCAGCAUCGGUUGUCAAGCGAUGUUGGGGAGGGGAACAAACAUAGACACACAAACAUAUACGCACACAUACAUGUAUAUAUAUAUACAUAUAUACGACGGGCUUCUUUCAGUUUCCGUCUACCAAAUCCACUCACAAGGCUUUGGUCGGCCCGGGUCUAUAGCAGAAGACACUUGCCCAAGAUGCCACGCAGUGGGACUGAACCCGGAACCAUGUGGUUGGUUAGCAAGCUACUUUACCACACAGCCAUUCCUGCGCAUGCUGGAGCACCGCCUUUAGUCGAGCAAAUCGACCCCGGGACUUUUUCUUUGUAAGCCUAGUACUUAUUCUAUCGGUCUCUUUUACCGAACCGCUAAGUUAUGGGCGUAAACACACUAGCAUCGGUUGUCAAGCGAUGCUAGGGGGACAAAACACAAAUACAUGCACACACACACAUAUAUAUAUAUAUAUAUAUAUAUAUAUAUAUAUAUAUAUAUAUAUAUAUAUACGACAGGCUUCUUUCAGUCGUAUAUAUGCCAUAUAUAUAUAUAUAAAGGUAUUGGUCGGCCCGGGGUUAUAGCACUUGCCCAAGAUGCCACGCAGUGGGACUGAACCCGGAACCAUGUGGUUGGUUAGCAAGCUACUUACCACACAGCCAUUCCUGCGCAUGCAUAUAUACGACGGGCUUCUUUCAGUUUCCGUCUACCAAAUCCACUCACAAGGCUUUGCCCGGCCCGAGGCUAUAGUAGAAGACACUUGCCCAAGGUACCAUGCAGUGGGACUGAACCCAGAACCAUGUGGUUGGUAAGCAAGCUACUUACCACACAGCCAUGCCUACGACUGCAUAGGGACGUAAAACAAAUAGCGAGAACUUUAAGGCGCGUGCUACAAAACCCUUCUCAUUGUGUAUGUGUGUGUAUAUAUUGAAUCAUCCCAUAAAUAAUGCGUUUUUUCAUACAUCUUUUACUUUUCAAAAUUAAGAUAAUCAAAGUUCUUUUUUAAAAUAAAAUAUACUCUCCUUCAUUUUUUACAAUGCCCUUCCAUCUGUCUGGUAGACUUGCAAGGCCCCUCUUCCAAAAUUGACUUGUCCGUGACGAAAAAUACUCCUCUAGUACUGUUCUGACCUCGUGUACAAAAUUCAUAUUUUUUUCCGUCCAAAUGAUUUUGAAGACUGCGGAGUAAAUGAUAAUGAGAUGGGACAAUGUCCACCGAAUAUUGUGGGUGGGGCAUCGUUUCCCAUACAAACUGCUCCAGUCUUUGGAAUGUCAUCUACGCUGUACGUGGCCGAGCAUUAUGCUGAUGGAAGAACACUUUUCGUCUUGACACCUAAGAUGGUCGCUUUCCGAUGGUACGCAGGUGCCGAUGAAUGUUUAAAUAACCAAAUCCAAGCUUCUUUGCUAGUUCCUCAACACUUACAAUAUGGUUUGCAAGACGUCCACGUCGAGCUCUAGAGAUCUUCCAGAAGGCUCGUCUUCUAGGCUGUAGUUUCUGGCUCGGAAUUUCUGGGACCACCGUUGACACUUUGCGCUUAUUUUCCAAUCCCCGUAUACUGCAUUAAUAUUCAUCGCACUUUGUGUUGUGCUGUUGCCUUUAUUGAGCUCAUAAAGCAAAAUAUACCGAACAUGCUCUUUUGUCACUUCCAUUAUAGCUUUCAAAUAAGCGGCGAGCAGGCAGAAACGUUAGCACGCCGGGCGAAAUGCGUGUUUAGCUCCUUGAGGGUAGUAAAGAAAUAGGUAUUUCGUCUGACGUUACGUUCUGAGUUCAAAUUCCGCCGAGGUCGACUUUGCCUUUCAUCCUUUCGGAGUCGAUAAAAUAAGUACCAGUUGCGUACUGGGGGCGAUCUAAUUGACUGCACCCACCUCCCUCAAAAUUUCGGACCAUGUGCCUAGAGUAGAAAAAGAGCAUAGCUUUCAAAAAAUAACUGUUAAAAUCGAACUGCACUUUUCAGAACUUGCACUAAGAAUAAUUACAAGGUAAAAUCAAUUCCUGCGUUUAUAGCAGGCUGAUGCAGAUAGUUUAUCCCGUACCCAAUAUAUAUAUAUAUAUAUAUAUAUAUAUAUAUAUAUAAAUAUAAGAGAGUGGUCACUAUAUUGCUCACUCUAGCACCAGUUAAUCCAAAAGGUUUCAACCACGAAAAUACAUGCUUACCAUGAAAGUCAGUACGAUUGUUAGCUCACACCGCGUGUGUAUCGUUGGCGAUUUUCUAUCUCCGUCUUCCCUUUCUUGGACUUUUCCUUUUUAUAUGUUUCUGACGUAGAGCUCCGCUCGAAACGUUAGAUCCUCCUUCUUUCUUUCCUUCCCUGAGUGUCCAAUAACACUAUACUUGCUCCACGUUCUCGCGUUGUUGUGUUUUCUCUUUGUUCAUGUUUGGAUUAACUAUAUAUAUAUAUAUAUAUAUAUAUAUAUAUAUAUACAUAUACAUACAUAAAUGCAUACAUACAUACAUACAUACAUACAUACAUACAUACAUACAUACAUACAUAUAUACAUACGUACAUACAUACAUACAUACAUACAUACAUACAUACAUACAUACAUACAUACAUACAUACAUACAUACAUACAUACAUGUAUAGGCAUGUGUGUGUGUACGCAAAUGUUUGUGUUUCAGUCUGUAAACGUAGAUGAAACUAUAUAAGCACACACAUGAAAAGAUUUUAGAGAUUGAACAACCCGUACACAGAUGUCAUGCCUUAUGUAUACCGUAUUUUACAGAGGAGGAAAUAAACAUAUAAAGAUUCAAAAAUUAACAAAAGACAAUACAAAAGCAAAUUGAGAGAGAAAUCUCUAUUUAAUGUAGCAUACAUUUUAUAUCACUCUUAACAACAAUCCAUCAAUGCCUGAAGUGUAUCUAGUCUGUCGUAUGUAUUGUUUACAAAUUACGAGUGGCUUGGAUUGUUACAUACACUAGCAGUAUCGCCCGGCGUUGCUCGGGCUUGUUUCGACCCUUUAGAAUUGGAAUUUUUGAAAAAUUAAAAGUUUUGCGUUAUGUAGCUUGUUAUUCUCUUUAAGUGAACAUUUUUCUGGUUGAAAUACACCGAAAAAUGGCGACACAGCAAUCAAAAAAUCGUAAAAAAAUAGGGAUUUUCAUAGAAAAAAAGCACCUUUUUGAUGAAAAUAAUUUUUGGUGUUAACAUGGUCCGAUUUGAAUUUUGUCUUCUACGGAAUGAAGAGCAAGCCUUCUUCUAUCAUACUCUCAAUUUUGGUCAACUUGCGCCGGUGGGCCUCGGAGGAAAUAAUGUUAGUUGAAAGCUACCAAACCUGCCAUACACAGACAACUUCAGCUUUAUAUAUAUAGAGAUAUACAAGGUUGGCUAAAAGUCACCCGACAGUAAAUCGAAAUCUCAUAAAUACUUAAUAUUAAAUUUUAUUUAUUAAUUCCAAUUAUGACUGUUUAAUAAUUGAAUGCUGUGAGUUAAAAUCACCAUUUUAAAAAAAAUUCUUCCAGCAUUUGUCUAUUUAUUAGCGAAGUCUCAUAUAAAAUAAUUUUUUUUGUUUUAAAUAAUUUUUCUUGCAAUCAUAUGGGGUUUUUUUAUUUACUGUCAGGUGACUUUUGGCCAACCCUGUAUAGGAAUUUUUGGACAUACGCAUAUGCGUAUCUUUUAUCUGAUACUUAUUUCAGUCAUUAGGUUGCGGCCAUGCUGGGGCACCGCCUUGACGAGUUUUUAGUCGAACGAAUCGAAGUCAGUACUUAUUUAUUUUUAAAUCCUGGUACUUAUUCUAUCGUAUCUCUUUUGCCAAAUUGCUAAGUUACGGGGACGUAAACAAACCAACACUCGUUGUCAAGCAUAGUUGGGAGACAUACAUAAUACUAUACAUACAUACAUACAUACAGAUGCGGAUUACCAAAUCCACUCACAAGACUUUGGUAUAGUAGAAGACAUUUGCUCAAGGUGCCACGCAGUGGGACUGACCCCGGAACCUUGUGGUUGGGAAGCAAACUUAUCAUAUAGCCACGUCUGCUUCAAUACAUACAGCUAUUUACACACACAUACACAAACACUCACAAACGCACGCACACAAGGUGCGAUGGAUAAAUCGUCGCCGUUCUCUAUCUUUAAUUUCGCGUAUGAGCGCAUUGUUUGUUUUUGAUUUUGUCUACUACAAAGUAAAGUACGGUCAGUAGGGCAGCGUCUGUGAAAAAAAAAACAGUACUAUUACGCAUUUCAUUCUGCCAGAAAUUUGGAAAUGAUAUGCUGUACUGCUUGGCAAUUUCGCCGCAAACUCCAAUACAAAUAUUGCAGAGUGUUUGGGUGUCAAUCUGACGACAGUGCAAUCUGAAGACAUACACCAAGAGUGAUAAAAAUCAAACAUCCAGUCAACAUCAUAGUGUUUGGAGUGAUCACUAGUGAUGGCGACGUUAUGCCUCUAUUCAUCUUCCCACACGGCGGAGGCCUACAUCAAGUGCCUGGAAGAGGUAGUGUUGCCCUGGUUGCUGGAAGACCCUGAGGAGACCCUAAUAAAAAUUGUAUACUCCAUUUUCUUGUUGAAUAUAUAUAUAUAUAAAUGCGCCCUUUUAAAGCCUAGCCAGGCUCAUGGGCCCGGUUUCCCGGUUUCUAUGGCGUAUGUGUUCCCCAGCUGGACGGGACGCAAAUCCAUCGCAGCAUUACUCAUUCUUGCCAGCUGAGUGGAUUGGAGCAACGUGAAAUGUAGUGUUUUGCUCAAGAACACAACGCGUCGCCCGGUCCAGGAAUCGAAACCACAAUCUUACGAUCAUGGUGCUGACACCCUAACUACUAUGCCACGUGCCUCCAUAUAUAUAUAUAUAUAUAUAUAUAUAUAUAUAUAUAUAUAUAUAUAUAUUUUAAUAAAUGAAAUAAAACAUAUGCAUAUAUGAUAAACAUAUAUGUACGUACCUACCUCUACAUGUACAUAUACACGCAUAUAUGAGUACAGGAUACCAACGGUGUCGAACACAAAGAGUCACGAAAACAUAGACACAAACCAAAGGAACUGGACAUUUUUAUAUAAAUAUAUAUAUAUAUAUAUAUAUAUAUAUAUUACAAUUAUAUAUAUAUGAAAUCCCUCUUCGAUGAGGGUUUCAUCUACUCUGACGUUUCGAAGGAUAAAAGCGAGACGUAUCUUCGACAAGAAACUUUCCUUCCUGCGAAAAGCAAAUCAAUUAAAAUUCUGAGAUCUUUUCGCAGAGGGGUAAAAAAUGGUAAUAUAUAUAUAUAUAUAUAUAUAUAAAUGUUACUUCGUUUUUAUCCCUCGUUUGUCUACUUAAUGGUUUCGUCUUGAAUCACAUUUAUUCAUGCAUGUUCUUAUGUCCACUUCUCUAUGGCUUGUUUAUUCCAUUUAUUAUUUGUUCGUUCUCGUCCUGUUAUAUUUUUGGUCCCAUUUCCCGGCAGCUUCUGGUGGUGCUGGCACCACCAGAAGGAAAGUAAUAUUAUCGUUAAAGGUGCUAAACUUCGUUCGACGCUCUGACCGACAACUGAUGAAUAAGGAGUUAGUGACCGUCUAUAUCUGUGCAUUUAUUAUGUUUAUAAAUUUAUAUAUAUAUUUAUAAAGACAUUUAAAAAAUUUAACAAAAACACAUAACAAAUAGAGAAUUCGUAACUUAUUCCUCAUCAGUCAACGUCCAAAAGAUCUUUACAAUUUCGUGCUUUUAUCGUUAAUAUUGUUCACUUUUGGUGACGCCAGAGGUGAGAAGCUGCAGGGAAUAGCUAACGAAUGCACAGGAGAAUGACGAAAACAAACACGCCAAAAUAAAACAUUAAUAUACAACAAGAAAGGCCGUGCGGCCUCAAGACAGACUGAUGUGAGGUAACGCAAAGGAAAAUGAAAAUGUCCUGUAGGACUGGAGACAAGAGAAAGACAGAUAGAAAUUCAGAACGAAGGAGGAAGUUAUGUAUUAAGGAGAGAGAGAGAGAGAGAGAGAGAGAGAGAGAGAGAGAGAGAGAGGAAGGCAGAAGAGAGGUAAAGAAAGAGAAAGUGGCUAUUGGUUUUGCAACUGCAAAGUGUUUAACAGAAUAGGCGACUCGUCAGCCAUUUGAGUUUGAUGAGUUGCCUGUACUGCCAAGCGUUUUAUUGGUGCGAAACCAAUGGUCACACUAUGACCGGGCAUAACUUUUAGCUCCCUAAAAAUUACAUUACUGUCCUAAUGUUUUAGAGUGUGCUUCUUUUGCGGAUAUAUGAACUACUGACGAUAUAUAUAUAUAUAUAUAUAUAUAUAUAUAUAUAUAUAUAUAUAUGGCGUUUGGAUGAUAGAUCGCCAUGAUAGAUCGGUAGCCACUACACACAUUUUUUUCUCUCCUUGUUUCUUUCUGUGUUCCUUUCUGUGGAAGAGCGUACGCUCGAAACGUAAAAGACUUUUUCAAUUCCCGAGCGUUUUACUAAUACAUCUGUUUGUUUUCUACACCACCUGUCUUUGUCUUUUGUUUUUUCAUGAAUCGUUCCCCUAUAUAUAUAUAUAUAGAGAGAGAGAGGGGGAGAGAGGGAGGUUACGUGUGAAUCCAGUGAGUCUUUCCCCUGACACCGCUUUAAAACAAAUGGUGCCUUUGUUUAUAUCCCAUCGCAUUAGCUGUCCAAUAUUCAGAUAUCGACAAGAUAAAUAUCAGGCUUAAAAUUAACAAUAAGGGAUCGUUAUACUCAACCGCAAAAUCCCUUUAAGGCGGUUCUCCAUUAUGGACGCCAUCCAAUGAGUGAAACAAGUAAACGAGUAUAUUUAUCCCCCUACUCUUUUCACCUGAUAGCUAUAACUUUGAUUGUCAUUGAGACUAAAUAUUAACCUUGCUGAAGACUGUGUCGAUGGAUUUAAUUGCUUGGAUACUAUUGUUAUAUUUUAGCUGCAGUUUAGCGUCAGAGUUUAAAAAAAAGCUUCAGAAAUUUAUUUUUGUCAGAAUGAUUGUUUGUGUGUGUGCAUGUCUAUGUAUGUAUGUAUGUAUGUAUGUAUGUAUGUAUGUAUGUAUGUAUGUAUGUAUGUAUGUAUGCAUGUAUGUAUGUAUGUAUGUAUGUAUGUAUAUAUGUAUGUAUGUAUGCACGUAUGUAAUUAUGUAUGUAUGUAUGUACAUAUGUAAUUAUGUAUGUAUGUAUGCAUGCAUGUUUGUAUAUAUAGAUGUGUGUGUGUGUGUGUGUGUGUGCGCGUGUGUACGUAUAUAUGGUAUGAAUUGCUUGAGAGAGAGAAGUCAGCCAGCUCGACCAAACACCUCAUUAAGAUUAUGCUUGAAAAUUCUUAAUAAAUGAUAAAUUCAAAGAAAGAAAAUGCCGAAAUUAUCUAUCAGCAAGCUCCUUAACAGCUCCUUGGCAGUAGUGAUCAUUGCGAUAACAAGAAGCUCAUUGCUACGCUGGAAGAAAAUUCUUUUGAAGUUUAACCAAGCUGAACGCUCUUUUAAUGACGUUUUGAUGGUGAAGUGCAGCUGUUUAAAAAAAAAACAAAAAAAAACAAAUGGCUUACGAUUGUGGCCGGGCACUGUUUUAACAAAGAAUAAGCUAAGAAAGUUUGCCAAGACUACACCUUGGCUUCGACGAUAGGCUGGUGCCAUUUUUUGACAUUGUGGGUGGUAGGUAGGAUGAACUCGCCACCCAAUUUCUUGUAGCAUAUUUGACUGUAGUCUUUUACUCUUUUACUCUUGUACUAAUUUCAGUCAUUUGACUGCGACCAUGAUGGAGCACCGCCUUUAGUCGAGCAAAUCGGACCCAGGACUUAUUCUUUGUAAGCCUAGUGCUUAUUCUAUCGGUUUCUUUUUGCCGAACCGCUAAGUUACGGGGACGUAAAUACACCAGCAUCGGUUGUCAAGCGAUGUUGGGGGGACAAAUAUAUACACACACACGUAUAUAUAUAUAUAUAUAUAUAUAUAUAUAUAUAUAUAUAUAUAUAUAUAUAUAUAUAUAUAUAUAUACAUAUAUAUACAUAUAUACGACGGGCUUCUUUCAGUUUCCGUCUGCCAAAUCCACUCACAAGGAUUUAGUCGUUCCGAGGCUAUAGUAGAAGACACUUGCCCAAGGUGCCAUGCAGUGGGACUGAACCCGGAACCAUGUGGUUCGUAAGCAAGCUACUUACCACAAAGCCACUCUUGUAUUGCAAAUAUUCAGAUUAAUCAUCGCUCCUUUAUCUACCAACGUCUUUUUUCUGUGUGGCACCUUGGGAAGUCUUCUACUCUAGCUUCGGGCCGUCCAAAGCCUUGUGAAUGGAUUUGGCUGACGGAAACAGAAAGAAGCCUGUCAUAUAUAUAUAUAUGUGUGUGUGUGUGUAUAUGGGGGAGGAUCUUUUCCUUUUGAACGACAGAUGUCAACACAAUUUCUAGUUAACUAAACACUUUUAAACUUCGUAUACUGGUAGAAUGUGUUUAUAAAACAUCAUUUUCUCUUGGUUUUAUUGAGAAAAUUCUAUAGUUUGUAAGAUAUUUCGUCUGAAAAUCCGAGCAUUUCGGCAAUUUUAACCAAUCGAUUACCUCCAUUCAACUAAAAUCAUUUGCUGCGUCUAAAACUGAGACAACAUCCUGUAGCUAACCCUAAACCUCCUCCCUAACCCUAACACUAACCCUGAUUUUUUUUUCUUAAUUGUUAAAUUAAUUUAAUUCCGUUGCUUUUGUUUUUUUUACACGUGUAACAAUUAAAUUAAUUUAACAAUUAAGAAAAAAAAUUUAGGGUUAGGGUUAGGGGGGAGGUUUAGGGUUAGUUACUGGAUGUUGUCUCAGUUUUAGACGCAGCAAAUGAUUUUAGCUCAAAAGAGAGCAUAGGAUUGGUUAAAAUUUGAAAAAUUAAACUACGUUAAACAAACAAAUUACAAUUUUCUCAAGAAAGCCAAGAGAAAAAAAUGUUUUAUUUUGACACAUUCUACCAGUAUACGAAGUUUUAAAGUGUUUAGUUAACUAGAAAUUGUCUGCCGUUCAAAAGGAAAAGAUCCUCUGUGUGUGUGUGUGUGUGGGGGGGGUUGUUCCUUUGUUUCCCCCUCCCUAUCAUCAUUUGACAACCGGUAUUGGUGAGUUGACGUCCCCAUAUCUUAACGGUUCGGCAAAGAGACUGAUAAAAUAAGCACUAGGCUUGAAAAUAAUUCCUGGGGUCGAAUUGUUUGUCAAAAGCACUUCGUAGUGGUGUUCCAGCAUGGUCGCAGUCAAAUGACUGAAACAAGUAAAAGAAAAGAAGAAUUAUAUAUAUAUAUAUAUAUAUAUAUAUAUAUAUAUAUAAACUUAACGGUUCGGCAAAGUAUCCGAGAGAAUAAAGUGCCAGGCCUAAAAAAAGGUACUGGGGUCGAUUCAUUCGACCAAAAAUUCUUCAAGGAGGUUGCCCCAGUAUGGCCGCAGCCUAAUGACUGAAACGAGUAAAAGAUAAAAGAAAACAGAGAUGUCCGAGUGAGAUACCGGCUACAUCGAUCUGGACGGCCGCGAAGAUGGUCAUUAUACUUCGUUAUAAAAAUUCGAAAAACUUUUUUACGUCAUUAACCUUCGAACAACAGGAAAAGAUUGCCAAAAAACAAUUUUUUUUCUCAUGAGUAAAUUUUAUACAUAUCUUCACUUUAAAUGGACACAAAAGCAUAAAAUUAAUAAGGACAAUUAAAUCAUUUGAACAUAAAUUCAUUUGAGAUCAUCGAAUUGUUGUUGUCAAAGGAAUGUACACAUUUUUUUCCAUCCCGAACUAGUUGAAGCAUCACUUUCUUCUUAAGUGUCUAAAAUCUAAGGCCUCAGGUCAAUCUAUACCAGUCGUUCUCAAGUGGGGUUCACAUGGUUCUUGAGAGUGCAUAUAUGAUUUUUUGUUGUUAAAAUUGGUUAUACAGUACACAAAAUAUUUUAACAAUUUUCUUAAUGCAAUUCCUAAUAUUUAAGUAUAAAAAUAUAAUGGGGCUUUUCUUUUAAGACAUCGAAUGUUUUUAUCAGAGUAAAAUAGGAAUCAAAGGAGUCCAUAGGCAAAAAAUAGUUGAGAGCCUCUGGUUUAGAUCAUCAUCAUCGCCGUCAUCGUUGUCGACAUCAACGUCAUCGUCGUCAUCAUCGUCAUCGUCAUCGUCGUCAUCAUCAUCAUCAUCGUCAUCAUCGUCAUCAUCGCCAUCAUCGCCAUCAUCAUCAUCCUCAUCAUCAUCAUCAUCAUCAUCAUCAUCAUCAUCAUCAUCAUCAUCUACGUCAAUUGAUAACGAGGGAAAUCAGAAAAUUCUUCUUUAUCGCUGCAUAGAUCUUCCGGUUGCGAUUUGAUUUCUCCUAUCGGUAACGAGGGCCGCUUACGCUUAGGCGCACUUGACGAAAUAGACCCUCGAGAUUGUCAAUUGAUGAUAGCCAUAAAAGAUUUGUAAAAGUUUUGAAACAUCAAUUGAUGAUGGCUGCUGCUAUCUAAUGAAGUAUCAAGUGGUAACGUUCGCCGUUUUAAGGGUCGAUAUUGCUUCAGGUGGUGAGCUGGCACAAUCGUUAGAAAAAUCACCGGAAAAAUUGCUUAGCAGCAUCUCUCUCGGCUUUACGUACUAAGUUCAAAUUCUACCGAGGCUGACUUUGCCUUUCACCCUUGCGGGAUCGAUGAAAUAAGUACCAGUCGAGCCCUGAGGUCUAUGUAAUCGACUUAUUCCUCUCCUAAUAUUGCUGGUCGUGUACCAAAAUUUUAAACCAUUAAUAUUGCUUCUUCCAAACUAAACCAACGUCAUAACAUUACAUUUUAAGACAAGUGUAGGGCCGUGAAUUUAUCAGAGUCGUUGCAGAGUAGGAAAAUCUCUUGUGCUAUUUCUUCUUAUUGCUUACAGCCUAUGUUCAAAUCCCAGAUCUUAUUGAACUCAACUUAAGUUGAUGCCAUUUUUGACAUUGUGGGUGGUGAGUAACCCGAACUCGCUGCCCGAUUUAACGUCACAACUUUGUUUUUUUUGGUUUCAUUUAGCACAUAUUUGACUCUGUUGUAAUUAUUUGAAUUUAUCCUCUCUUUUCUACUUAGCCACGUUUUUUUCCCCCUGUCGAAUAAUUCUAUCCGAGUGGGAUAUUUACCACAUCGAUCUCACUGAUGUAGGUGGGCCUACAAAGAUAAUGGACAUACUUUAAUGCAAAAAUAAUUGUUCACGUUUUAUAAACUUCCGAAAUAUUCCAAAAUCGAUAAAAUAAAAUACCAAUCAAGGGCUAAGGGUGGUGGUACUGACUAACUCUUCCACCUCAAAACUAUUGCCCUUAUGCUUAAAUUGGAAACAAUUUUAAGACAAAUGUUGUAGAGGAGGGGGUUCUCAGCCAUUUCUUAUCUAUGGAUCCCUUUGAUUACUAUUUAAUUCUGGUGGACCCCAUAGCCAUUUGAUGUAUAAAAACUGGGUUUUCAAGGGCUUCUUUCAAAAUUUCCAUUUUAUUUUUCGCAUAUUAACUUGUGUAGGCUGAACUAUGUAAAAUGUUAGAGAAAAGACACCUAACUGUUUCUUGCAAUACAUACCAAUACAUACAUCUAAAGCAAAACUUUUUCGGGGGCCCUUGAAGUACUAUUGUAGAUCCCCAGUUUACUAUUUUAUUGAGUGGACCCCCCCACCUCCAAAAUCUCAGGGUCCAUAUGGACCUUGGUUGAGAACCACUGUUGUAGAGAAACGAAUGCAUUCCAGGUGAGCCUACAUUGGGUCCCGGAUUUAGACCUCCUUCGGUACAAUCUCACAUUAUCAUACCCCCGUAAAUGCAUUGACAGUCGCAACAUUACACCUCAUAAAUAAAGAGCUUUAUGCUUAGUCAAUUGGAAUGAAUAUUUGAAAGAACAAAUACAAUGAUUUUUAUUUAGUCUAUUUUAAGAUUUUUAUCAUAGACCGCAGAUCAGAGCGGUGGCGGGCGGCGGCGGCAGCAAAAGCAGCGGCGGUGACAGCAAACAUUAUUUGUAGUGUUUAGUUUAAAGUUUCUUUACAUUUCGAGUUCAAAUGCCACCGAGUUUGACUUUUGCUUUUAUUCUUCCAGAGUCAACAGAAUAAAUCGCCAGUCAAAGGUAUGGAUAGAUUUAUUCAGCUGUUCGUCUGCCAAAAUUUAUGGCUGUGUAACUUAAUCAAACGUCAUUAUUUUAGUUCAAUAUAGUCAACGGAUCUCCGUCGCUUUCGACGAUGAUUAUUCAUUUACUCAAUCAGCCGAACACCACAUUAAGUGCACUAACAUCUAAACGUCUGAACAGUUCGCAGACUCCUAAACUCCAAGUACAAUUUUCGGGCUGAAUGAACGCUGCACAGUGUGUGACAAAGCUGGUCAUUUAAUACAAACUUGCUGACCCUGUGGUUAGAUGGCGAUUUAAUUAGAAAGAACCAUCAAGUACAAAAAAUUAAUAUUGUAUGUAGAUAUAUAUAUAUAUAUAUAUAUAUAGGUGUAAAAGUGACUGUAUGGUGAGUAGCUUGCUUAUGAACCAUAUAGUUCUGGGUCCAGUCCCACUGCGUGGCACCUUGGGCAAGUAGUGUCUUCUACUGUAGCCUCGGGCCAACCAAAACCUUGUGAGUGGAUUCGGUCGACAGAAACCGAAAGAAGCCCGUCGUAUAUAUGUAUAUAUAUGUGUGUGUGUGUGUGUAUGUGUGUAUAUGUUUGUGUGUCUGUGUUUGUCCUCCCCAAUAUCGCUUGACAACCGAUGCUGGUGUGUUUACGUCCCCGUCACUUAACGGUUCAGCAAAAGAGACCGAUAGAAUAAGUACUAGGCUUACAAAGAAUAAGUCCUGGGGUCGAUUUGUUCGACUAAGGGCGGUGCUCCAGCAUGGCCACAGUUAAAUGACUGAAACAAAUAAAAGAGUAAAAAGAGUAUAUAUAUAUAUAUAUAUAUAUAUAUAUAUAUAUACUUUUUCUUUUAUUCGCUUAUUCUUUUAUUUGUUUCAGUCAUCUGACUGCGGCCACGCUGGAGCGCCACCUUUUGUCAAAUAAAUCGACCCCAGGACUUUGUAAUCCCAGUACUUAUUGUAUCGGUCUCUUUUGCCGAACCGCCAAUUUACGGUAAACACAACAGCAUCGGUUGUUAAGCGAUGGUGGUGGGGGUGACAUUAUAUAUAUAAUGGCUGUAUGGUAAGACGCUUGCUUCCCAACCAUAUGGAUCUGGGUUCAGUCCCAAUCUGCGGCACCUUGGGCAAAUGUCUUCUAUUAUAGUCUCGGGCCGACCAAAGCCUUGUGAGUGGAUUUGAUAGGCAGAAACUGGAAGAAACCCGUCGUAUAAAUGUAUAUAUAUUUGUAUAUAUUUAUGUGUGUGUGUUUGUGUUUGCGUGGCUAGGUGGCAAAAAACUUGAUUCUGAGCCACAUGGUUCUGAGUUCAGUCACACUGCAUGGUACUUUGGGCAGGUGAUUUCUGCUAUAGCCACGGGCAGACUAAAGCUUUGUGAGUGGAUUUGGUAGGCGGAAAUUGAAAGAAACCCGUCAUAUAUAUAAAGAAAAGGAAGAGGAUUUGACGUUUCGAGCGGAGCUCUUCAUCAGAAAUAUAGAAAGAGUCCAAAGAAGGGAAGACGGAGAAAGAAAAUCGCUAACGAUACACACGCAGUCACAUAUAUGCAUCUAUGUGUGUUUCUUUGUGUCUAUGUAAUCCACCACCACCACCGCAGCUUGACAACUGGUGUUGGUGUGUUUACGUCUCUGUAACCUAGCGGUUCGGUAAGAGGGACCGAUAGAAUAAGUACCCAGCUCAGCAAAAUAUAUGUAAUGGAGUCGAUUCAUUCGACUGAAUAUAGAUAUAAAUAUAAAUAUAAAUAUAUAUAAAUAUAUAUAUAUCUAUAAAAUAAUAUGUUACAUUACUCGAUAGUCAAGAUAAAACUCUGAGUUUCAGAUGCCGAAGUGGGAAUCCACAACGUCAUCUCUUCGGUUAUAUAGCCAGAUAACCGAAGAGAUGACGUUGUGGAUUCCCACUUCGGCAUCUGAAACUCAGAGUUUUAUCUUGACUACCGAGUAAUGUAACAUAUUAUUUUAUAGAUAAAUUUCCUCUAUUUACAUAAUAUUGAGGUCUCUUUCUUUCUUUUGUUAUCUUACCGUUUUACCAAUAUAUAUAUAUAUAUAUAUAUAUAUAUAUAUAUAUAUAUAUAUAUAUAUAUAUAUAUAUAUAUAUAUAUAUAUAUAUAUAUAUAUAUAUAUAUAUAUAUAUAUUUAUAUAUAUAUUAUAUAUAUAUAUAUAUAGAUAGAUAGAUAGAUAGAUAAGGCCUAUUUUGUUUGUACAAUUCCAUAUUUAAUUUAUUUUGUUUGUAUUCUCCCAUUUUGUUGUGUUUCUUUUCGUUACUGUCCCCAAGUCCCCAACAUUCUUUAGCUAUUCUCAGCAGCUUCUCGCCAUCGGCGCCAACAAAAGUGAACAACAUUUGUCGUCAAAGUCGUAAAAUUGUGAGGGUCUUUUUGCCGAUAGCUGACGAGGAAUUAGCAACGUCCCGUCCCGUCUUGUGCGUGGAUUUUCCUUCUUUCUUUUAUUAUGUUUCUGUUCAAAUUUUGGAACUUCUGGAAAUUUUAUGUAACGCUACGUACACUUCUUAUUUUCUAUACAUUCAGUUGUGUGCGUGUGCGUGCAUGUGUGUGUGUGUGUGUAUUAUCAGAGAUCGAAGAGAUAAUAGGACUAUAAUCUGGUAAGAUUUAGAUUUUCGGAAGAAUAUGGAUAGGGUUAACAUUUAUUUUUACAAAGUUUAGGUGUUAGUUGCUUUCCUCUCACCCGAAAUAUCUGGAAGCGGAAUAAUAAAACUGAACUGUUGAAAUAAAUAGGCAACCCUCCAAAUUAUCUGACAAAAAUAUUUCGUAGAAAUAGUUGUUUGUUUAUGUGAUAUCUUCAUUCGGAAUUAUAUCUUCACACUCUUUACAUUUUUAGUGUUGGGGUUUGUUGAGGGGCUCAUGAAGGUUUGACACCUUUCAUUCGCAAUAACUUCUCCGUGUUUGUAUCAGAAAGUAAAGUUAAAAAUGAAAAAUAUAAAAUAAUAGAUUAAGGAAAAUAAAAUAAAAAAGAAACCGCUGAUUUUUACGUUACGAGAUUGCCGUCUUAUCUGAUAGUUAGAAAGAGAGGCCUAGAAGGAAUGAAAACAUAACUCAUGUUAUUGACUGGAAUCUGAUUCUAGCAAUUCUAAAGACACAGUCUUCAGUAACGUGAUAGGAAAGUACUAACAACAAUAGUAAUACCUUCUAAUUCUGGGACAAGGCCAGCAAAUUUGAAGAGAGACCGUAAGUCGAUUAUAUCGAUCUUGGUACUUCGCGGUACUUAAUUUUAUCGACCUCGAAAGGACGAAUGGCAAAGUUGACUUCAGUGAUAUUUGAACUUGGAUUGUAAAGAUUCGGAAGAAACGCCGCUAAGCAUUUUGUCUGGCGUGCUAACGAUUCUGUCAGCUCGCCGUUUGUGCACCAAAAAUAAUAACGAUGGUCCCAAAUUUUGGCACUAGGUCAUCAGUUUCGGUGGAUGGGCUGAUUGAUUAGAUCGAACCCAGUGGUACUUAUUCUAUCAACCCUGAAAGGAUGAAAGACAAAAUCGACCUCGGUGGAAUUUGAACUCAACGUAAAUACAGACGAAAUACCUAUUUCUUUACUACCCACAAGGGGCUAAACACAGAGGGGACAAACAAGGACAGACAAAGGGAUAAAUCGAUUAUAUCGACCCCAGUGCGUAACUGGUACUUGUUUUAUCGACCCCGAAAGGAUGAAAGGCAAAGUGGACCUCGGCGGAAUUUGAGCUCGGAACGUAGCAGCAGACGAAAUACCUAUUUCUUUAUUACCCACAAGGGGCUAAACACAGAGCGGACAAACAAGGACAGACAUAGGUAUUAAGUCAAUUACAUCGACCCCAGUGCGUAACUGGUACUUAAUUUAUCGACCCCGAAAGGAUGAAAGGCAAAGUCGACCUCGGCGGAAUUUGAACUCACAACGUAACGCAGAAGAAAUACUGCUAACUUUUCUGCCAGCUCGCCGCCCUUUCAAAAACAAUGAUAAAUAUUGUUCCAAAUUUAAAUUUUGGCACAAGAAUGGCAAUUUCAGGAGGAGCAGGGUUAGUUGAUUACAUCGACGCCAGUACUUCACUCGUACUGUGUUUUAUCGACCUCGAAAGGAUUACAAAAUUGUCAGAACGUUGCGUCGGAUGAAAUACCGCGAAACAUUUUUUUGCAACAUUCUAAUAUUUUGCCAGCUCACCGCCCUACCCACAACGACGACGACGACGACAACGACGACGACGACGACAACGACGACGACGACGACAACGACAACAACAACAACAAUCCUGUCUCCAGUAAGCACAAUGCCUGAAAUUUUGGGGGAGGGAUAAGUCGACAUUUUGUGAGGAGGGAUGAGUCGUAAAUCGCUCAACUGGUACUUAUUUCAUCGAAUCCAAAAAGAUGAAAGGGAAAAGUCGACAUCGGCGGAAUUUGAACUCAGAACAUAAUGACGGACGAAAUGCCGCUAAGCGCUUUCCCCGGCGUGUUGAUGAUUCUGCCAGCUCGAUAAUAAUUGUAAUACUACUACUAAUAAUAAUAAUUGUUUGACCAUCAAACUGAUGCCACUACACCCACCCUUUGAAAGCGCGGCCGAAGCUGAUUGCUCUUAAGGACAACCAUCAGGUAGCGAUGGUCAGUCAUCUCUGAAACUUUAGCUCGAUUUCAAACUGAUGCACUACUCACCGGUGCGAGAUCAAUUUUCGACCCUUUAUACAAUGUGUCGCCAUGAAGUUAUAGAUCAAUAUGUCUGGGGUCGAACAACUUCAAGUGUGUCCAACUAUUCUUCCGACGAUAAUCUCUUGGAUGUGACCUUUGUCGAAAUUCUCAUAUUCUGUGCUUGGUAGAAUUAUGGGCCUAAAUUUGUUAAUUAUGCCUCCUCACCAUUUUUGGAACUCCCUCAGCAAUGCUAAAAUCGCUCGGUUUGUACAAUUAGAAAUGCAUCGAACCGAAAUCCAAGGGGUGUCAGUGGACACGCUGGUUUGGCUUAUUUCGCCUCGGUUUUCAUACACAAAGCCUACAAAAAAAAAAAAAGAAAAAAAUUUUCGAGAGAGAGAGAGAGAGAGUAAAACAUGCAGCGUGGCCUUUCCCGUUCUGGUGUACAGGAACAUAUCUCAAAGAAACGUAUUUUGACCGUAAUUACAGGUGUUAAAUUAAUUCUAGCUUGGCAAGCCUCUGAACACAACAGUAAAUAUUUUAUUUAGUGUUCUGUAUAUACAAGAAUGAAAGUUCCGACUUAGUUCCGCAUAACUGAGGUGGUAUCCACCACUGAACAAGAAAAAUCAUGACAGAACACCGUGUAUGGUAGUCUACUGACGUCACUUGGUGCUCGGCUCAAUGCGUUUUUACACAGUAAGCCUACAAAGAGAAAUUUUUUGACACAAAAGCUUGCAAUGUAUAUGUUCUACGUUGGUGUGUACAAGAACAUCUGUGAUCUGCAAACAUACUUGUAUAUACUAACGAGUGUGUGUGUAUAUAUAUAUAUAUAUAUAUAUAUAUAUAUAUAUAUAUAUAUAUACAUAUAUAUAUUUACUACACACACAUUUAUACAUACACACAUACACUAUACACUAACACACUCAUAUACAUAAAUAUAUUUAUGCAUGCACUUAUGUAUGAAUGCAAAGACAGAUAGAUAGAUAGAUAGAUAGAUAGAUAGAUAGAUAGAGUGAGAGAGGGAGAGAGAGAUAGUAAACCAGAUGAACACAGGUUUGAUAAGUAUAUAUAUUUGCGUGGAACACGAUAAAUACAGAAUAAAAUAUAAAGAAAUUAUGUAAUGUCUUAAUUCGACAGCUGUUUCAGGAAGCUCAGCGUUACGUAAUAAUUACAAUUUGACGUGUAAAAUGUCCUGGGCAUGAAACUGAUGACGCGGAGUGCCUUUGUUGGAAUAAGAAAUUAGAAUUAAUCUUCAAACUCAUUCGAGAACGAUUGUUUUCUAUAUUGUACCGAUCUGGUAGGACCCCAUGUGGUUCUCUUGGAACACUUCAUUUGCCUGAAUACCCAUACUGAGAAGGUAAACGAGCGGAAGAGAAUAAAAUAUACUGAGCCUGGUGGAGUUAUGACAAAAUAAUGAAUGACAAGCAAGGUUUGAAUACUAUUGAGGUGGGAUGCAGAUGUUUUGCUGGUCAGUUCCCUCUGCGAAGCCGACAACAUGCUGCGCAAUAAUGAUGCCAGUAAAUGUAAGGAUUUCAAGUUGGAUACGGACGGAGUAGAGGUUGCCUUAAGGUGGCUGUGGAUCAGAUAAUGUGAGCUUAUGGAGGGGUUGUGUUACUUGAAGAAGUGCUAACUGGACACAAUAAAAAGCUUGAUCAACCCUGGAUAGGUCACAUGAAUGAGAGGGUCUGACUGUUGAAUGACCUGAAGAUCUAUAUACACAGAGUACGUUAGGGAUAAUGUAUCCAACUAUAUCACAGGAUGAUGUAAGAUAAUGCGUGCAUAUAUUCAAGUGCAUAUAUAUGAUUAUUUAUAUCAUACAUAAUAUAAAACAAUUGUCAUUCUGUCGGUUACGACGAGUAGGGAUUCAGUUAACAGCCUACUCGUGAUAUUAAUGUGCAAGUGGCUGAGCCCUCCAAUGACAUACAUAUAUAUCAGGCAAGCUGGAAGAAUUGUUACCGCACCGGUUAAAGUGCUUUGCGGCAUUUCUUCCGGUUAUUUACGUUCUGAGUUAAAAUGAGGCAGAUGUCAACUUUGCUUGACAUCUUUUCAAGAACGGCAAGUUAUCUUUUGAGUAUCGGAGUUUAGGUAAUCGACUAGCACUAUCCACUCAAAGAUCUCAGGCCUUGUGUCAAUGAUAGAAAAGUGUAUUAUUAUUAUAUAUGGAAUGCAUAAUAUAUAUGCGAUAUAUACACAUAUAUAUAUUUAUAUAUCCUUAUAAACACACAUAUAGGGUGUAUAUCGAAUAUAUGAUAUACGAUAUAUAUAGUGUGUAUGUUUGAGUGUGUGUGUAUAUAUAUAUGUAUAUAUAUAUAUAUAUAUAUAUAUAUAUAUAUAUAUAUUUAUUUAUAUAUACAUAUAUAUAUUGGGUUGUUCAGAAAGUUCGUGAUGAUUUUUAAAGGAAAGAAAAAAGUCAAUAAAUACUUGCCAUUACAUUUUUAAUCAACCAAAUAUGAACCAUUUUGUUGCACAAUGCGUCUCCAUCUUUCCUUUAACUUGAAAAUACCCUUCUUCCCAGAAUUGAGGUGAUUUCAUGACAAAGAAUUCAUCAAGGUAUAUUUUUACGUCAUCCAAGGAAUUGAAACUUUUACAUUUAAGACUAUUCUGCAGAGACCUGAAUAAAUGGAAAUCCUAAGGAGCAACAUCUGGUGAAUAUGGAGGGUGGGGUAACACAUCCCAGCUGAGCUGCAGCAAUUUUUGUCUGGUUUCCCAAAGCAUCAAGUGCUGAAAAUGAACUUUCUUAUCUUCCUCUAAAUGGAGGUGUAGUCAAAUCCUAUUUUAUGGACUCAACCAUGUUCUAAAAUAAGUGGAAAGGUAAGCUACUAUAAAUCGGCACGAACUUUCCAGACAACUCAAUAUAUAAAUAAAUAUACAUAUGUAUAUAUAUAUAUAUAUAUAUAUAUAUAUAUAUAUAUAUACACACACACACAUGUAUGUGUGUGUGAGUGUGUACAAAUAUAUACGAGGAAAUUAGGUAGUGAUUAUAUCAUAGACUUAACUCGUAGUCGGGUUUCGUAAUAGACUUUAAGUUAUACUUGUGUGUGUACGCAUGCAUGUAUGUAUGCAUGUAUGUACACACACACAAACAAACACACACGCAUGGGUCCACGCACCUAGACAACGUACACAUAUAUAGACGUUGUAGAUGUAUACAUACAUGUCCAUAUACAUAACCAUAAUUCCGAUAUAUAUAUAUAUAUAUAUAUAUAUAUAUAUAACCACCAUAUGCAUAAAAAUCUAUAGAAAUACAUACAUACAUACAUACAUACAUACAUGCA